ACGUAGGGGGCAAGCGUUGCUCGGAAUUACUGGGCGUAAAGGGUGUGUAGGUGGCUGAUUAAGUUAAGGAUGAAAUCCCGAGGCUCAACUUCGGAACUGUCCUUGAUACUGGUCAGCUUGAGGCUAGUAAAGGAGAGCGGACUUCCCGGUGUUCUGGUGAAAUUCGUACAUCAAGGCAUGACCACCAGAGGCGGAUGCGUUUCUCUAGCCUGCUCCUGACAGUGAGACUCUCUAUCCAUGUGAAGAAACGG
rnacentral:rRNA from 1 species